UACGUAGGGUGCAAGCGUUGUCCGGAAUUAUUGGGCGUAAAGAGCUCGUAGGCGGUCUGUCGCGUCGGCUGUGAAAACCCGAGGCUCAACCUCGGGCCUGCAGUCGAUACGGGCAAACUAGAGUACUGCAGGGGAGACUGGAAUUCCUGGUGUAGCGGUGAAAUGCGCAGAUAUCAGGAGGAACACCCGUGGCGAAAGCGGCUCUCUGGGACGGUACUGACGCUGAGACGCGAAAGCGUGGGGAGCAAACAGG
rnacentral:rRNA from 1 species